UACGGAGGGGGCUAGCGUUGUUCGGAACUACUGGGCGUAAAGCGCGCGUAGGCGGACCUGCAAGUCGGGGGUGAAAGCCCGAGGCUCAACCUCGGAACUGCCUUCGAUACUGCGGGUCUCGAGUCCGGGAGAGGUGAGUGGAAUUCCUAGUGUAGAGGUGAAAUUCGUAGAUAUUAGGAAGAACACCAGUGGCGAAGGCGGCUCACUGGCCCGGUACUGACGCUGAGGCGCGAAAGCGUGGGGAGCAAACAGG
rnacentral:rRNA from 1 species